CUCUGUUGCCCAGGCUGGAGUGCAGUCGUGCAAUCUUAGCUCACUGCAGCCUGAACUUUUGGGCUCAAGUCAUCCUCAGCUUCCUAAAUAGCUGGGAUUACAGGCAUGAGCCACCAUGCCUGAUUAGUCCUAUUCUUGAAUCGUGUGUGUGUGUGUGUGUGUGUGUGUGUGUGUGUGUUCUUUGUCCUUCUCAAACUGCAGAGUCUGAUCACUGUUUUCUUCCUUGCAGGAAGCUCUAAGACAUGUCCAGCCUGCUCUUUGCUGUGAACCUGCAUUGAAAUAACUUGUCCUUCUGCCCAGGACUUCUGCUUGUUUAGCCAGAUGCAGCUGGGUGGGGGACCGGGCUGGGGACUGGACAGGGGCUGGGUGGAGAGAAUGGACAAAGGCAGUGGGUGGAAGGGGGGCAUGGAUGAGCCAUCCUGGGACUGGAGAUUGCCAGCCCUGCCUCAUAGCUCAGCCUGGUGCUACUGGGGUAAAGGGCAGAGGGCAGCUGAACAGCAAAAGAGGCCCUGGAUUGGCCAGGGGGAUGGCUAUAGAGUGGGCAGAGGUCCUGGAGGGCUUGGAAAGCAGGGGCCCUAAUCUCCCUUCCUCAAACUCUAUCCCUAGAAAAUGGGACUCUCAUUGAGAAGGGGUCAUGUGUGGCCCCUGGAGAAUGCUAAGAAGGUGUCUACGCCCUGACCUACAGCCCCCAUGCAAGCCUCUGGGUCAGCACAGCCUCUUGUGAAAACAACUGCAGCCACCUUCCCCAGUAAGGAAUAAGUCGGCUCCAUGAACUGCACUGGGAAACAGACUGCAUGUGUCACCCUCCACGGGACCUGGAGUAGAGGGGGUCCCCAAAUUCUGAAGGGCUGUGCUACACCAGAGGUCUGCAACUUACAUGAGAAUGCCACCCUGGGUCCAGAAGACUCUGGAUUUCAUCUCACCGCUAAGCCUGAAUGCAACUGCCUUACUCCUACACAUCCAGGUCCUCAUGCAACUGUGACCCACACCAAAGCUGAGACCACCGACUGCUUCACCUGCUGAGACCUCCACAGCUGUGGCCCCCUUCCAUGCCCAGAGGAUAAUCACUACUGCCUUCAGAUGGCAGGCAUCACAGGCUUUGGCGAAGGUAACCCUGUCUCCUGGAGAAACGGUUUCUGCGUGACCUCCAAGGACUGCAAAUUUGGCAACUCCAUCUAUGCCCUGACCUAUGGUGUUGGCUUUGGCUUCUGCGUCAACACCACCUGUUGCCAAGGCAACUACCAGGAGCCCACCCCUCUCGCAGCUCAUCUGGCCUCACACACCCUGAGUGAGAUAUUGUGUCCUACAUGUCCUGGGAGCUACUUGGAGCCCUGCAAUUCCUCCUUCUACAUGCAGUGUCCCAGUGGGGAAUCUGAGUGUGUCCAGCUGGACCUAACGUCUGAAGAAGGCGGCCGGAACGUGAACGUACGCGGCUGCGGCUCCCGAGACCUGUGCAGCGCCCUGGACUGGACCCACGGGCUCUCUGUGCUCCCAAGACACUGGCUGUCGAGCCACUGCAGCCCCCACCGCCGCGCCGUCCUAGAGUCCCACUGCCGCUCGGGCGCCGCGCCCGGCCUCCGCCUCUCCCUCCCGGUUCUGGUGGUAGUCCUGGCAACCGCGACGCUGUGCUAAGGAAUCCCGCCUGGACCACCCCGCCGCCCGGGAGGCCCCCUCCACCUGCUUGUUCGGCACGUCGCUAGAUGGUGCCCUGGCUCCCCUCUGCUGGGGCAAUGCGGAGACCUGGAAGCCUCUGGUGAGAAACUCAGGAAGCAGGGAUGAGCUUCCUCCCUCAGACUAGCGUUUCCCAAAGCCAGACCUUCUGCUCCAGACUCAGGGCUUACUCAAGGCUAAGUCCUCUUUCCUCACACCAGGGUCCCAAAGGCCAUGCCUCCAUCAGCCUAGGGUGUGUCUUCCCCGCUCAGACUAAGGCCACUCACCUGCUGCUGAGAUCAGGCGUCUGCUCAACUAAGUUGGGGCGGGGCGCUAUACCUCCCCCCUCAGAUUAGCACCUUCCCCAAGGCCAAACCUCCUCCCUCAGAAGAGGGCUGUUCUUCUUCCUCAAGUUACUAAGCCUCCUUCUUCAAACGAGGGGAUACCCAAUAUCCGGCUGCUCCCAGACACCAGGGAUGUGUCUCUUCUCCCACACAUUGACAAGCAACUUCUCUUUUGUUCUCCCUGUUUGGGGUCUAGCAAAAUCCUGGGCAGCCAAGGCGGGGCUUGAGGAUCCGAUACACCCUCUUCCAAGGUUUUCAGAGCAGCCUCCUCCACCCCCACCAUGGGCCAAGACGGGGCAGGGGGCAUGGGUGGGGUGAGGAGCCCCUCUUCUGUGUGGGCCCAAUCUCCCAGCUGUAACCAGAUCUGAAUGAAUCACAUCUCACAAUGCCAA